rnacentral:rRNA from 1 species
AACGAACGCUGGCGGCGCGCCUAAUACAUGCAAGUCGAGCGAGAAGACGUAGCAAUACGUUUGUAAAGCGGCGAACGGGUGAGGAAUACAUGGGUAACCUACCCUCGAGUGGGGAAUAACUAGCCGAAAGGUUAGCUAAUACCGCGUACGCUCCUUGGACUUCGGUUCAGGGAGGAAAGCGAUACCGUGGGUAUCGCGCUCUUGGAUGGGCUCAUGUCCUAUCAGCUUGUUGGGAGGUAACGGCUCACCAAGGCUUCGACGGGUAGCUGGUCUGAGAGGACGAUCAGCCACACUGGCACUGCGACACGGGCCAGACUCCUACGGGAGCAGCAGUAAGGAUAUUGCGCAAUGGGCGAAAGCCUGACGCAGCGACGCCGCGUGGGGGAUGAAGGUCUUCGGAUUGUAAACCCCUUUC